rnacentral:tRNA from 1 species
GUGCAGUUCAGUGGGAGAGCACUUGCCUAGAAUGCACAAGGCCCUGGGUUCAAUCCCAGCACA